AUUCUUUCUUUGUUGAAAUUGCUCAAGUACCUCCAUUUGAUGUUGUACAAGAAUUAUUUGCAGAGAAUCAAUAAGAUCUACAUAUAACUCCCUCAAAACUAAUGCCAUCAACCACAAGCAUAGCCAUAUUCAAUUAAUUUAAGAAAUUAUCAAGCAAAUCACCUUAUUCUACAAAUAAAGAUACAAUGAUCAAACAACAAAUCCACAAUGCAUUAAAAAUUACAAACUCAUUAAAGAAACCUUGAUGAACAUCAUUUGCAAGUAAGAUACCUCACAUAUAAAGUAAUAUGUAUGUAUGUAUAUAUAUAUAAGUCCUAGAUUGGUUCUUAGGAUUUUUACUCUAAGUAGUUCUCUAACGGAAGUGUUAAUAUUCUUGUUCAACUGAUAGAAUUCAUUCACGUUUAUCUAUUCACCCAUAGAGCUUCACUGAUUGGCUAAUCAGAUGACAAUAUGUAUACUUAGACAUUAAGUAUGUAUAAGAUACUUUCCUCGUGUAUAUCACCCUCUCUCUAAUUUUGAUUUACUCAUAGCAAUCAUCAAAUUGUAAUAGUGCUUUGAUCAAGCAACCAGGUCACUUCAAUACCACACACUUGAUUAUGAGAUUUUUCUUGCUACACUCUUGUAAUUAGUGUGUAAAAUCAAAUAGUGUGUAUUUCCAAUUAGUGUGAUACACACUGUAAACCAGACACUCAUGUCGUGUCCCAAAGGCCCUUGGCAAACAGUAUGAUACACACUAAUUACGGAUGUCGGUGUAGCUCUCUCUUCUACGACGUCGUCGAGGUCGGACACACGUUGUUGGGCGUCCGUGGACUAUCUUAGAAAAGAUAUCGCGAUCGUUCCGACGCUUCGAUCGAUGGGUGUUGUCUAGAACGCGAUCAUCCGUAGCGCGUUGCUGGAGUCUCUUCGUGAAUACGUUGGGGAUUUUCGCAGUGUCUUGCUCUCUCUGAAAUUCACACUGAUCCUUCCAGAGGUCGGAACGGAGCUGGUUGAUCCUUAGAUAUUCAGCUACAGCCUGUGCUUUGCGCAAAGAUCACACCACCGAAGAAUGAUGCGAUGAUCGACAAAACAGGGUCUGCAAUUCUCCACCUGGGACGAUCGAAAAGAUUUCUUUCCUCCAGAGAUGUUGAUUUAUACUUCGACUCACAGCUUCGGCUGCGUAUCGUGAUUGUAUUUGUAGAUGUAUAUUAGAGACUGUGUUCAAAACAAUUAAAGACUGUAUUUCCAUUCUUUCCUUUCAAAAUCCAAUUAACGAAAGAUUUGGGCCAGAAAUAUUUAAUGUCAUCAGUUUCAGAUACAGAUUUUUGCGUUGAGGUCCCAAAAUAAGAAGAAAAAAACAUAUGUGAAAGUGCUGUACGCCGUUGGGAAGACAAAAGUCUAGAUUUUAUUUUAUUGUACUUCAUUUUCUUGAAGAUUGCAAGCAGAAAUUCACAUCUGGAGAAAGUUCUUGUGAAAUCUAUUAAUCUUUGCUG
rnacentral:lncRNA from 1 species